AUUGAACGCUGGCGGCAGGCUUAACACAUGCAAGUCGAGCGGAGUGAUGGUGCUUGCACUAUCACUUAGCGGCGGACGGGUGAGUAAUGCUUAGGAAUCUGCCUAUUAGUGGGGGACAACAUCUCGAAAGGGAUGCUAAUACCGCAUACGUCCUACGGGAGAAAGCAGGGGAUCACUUGUGACCUUGCGCUAAUAGAUGAGCCUAGGUCGGAUUAGCUAGUUGGUGGGGUAAAGGCCUACCAAGGCGACGAUCUGUAGCGGGUGUGAGAGGAUGAUCCGCCACACUGGGACUGAGACACGGCCCAGACUCCUACGGGAGGCAGCAGUGGGGAAUAUUGGACAAUGGGGGGAACCCUGAUCCAGCCAUGCCGCGUGUGUGAAGAAGGCCUUAUGGUUGUAAAGCACUUUAAGCGAGGAGGAGGCUCUUUUGGUUAAUACCCAAGAUGAGUGGACGUUACUCGCAGAAUAAGCACCGGCUAACUCUGUGCCAGCAGCCGCGGUAA
rnacentral:rRNA from 1 species